rnacentral:rRNA from 1 species
UACGAAGGGGGCUAGCGUUGUUCGGAUUUACUGGGCGUAAAGCGCACGUAGGCGGGUCGUUAAGUCGGAGGUGAAAUCCUGGAGCUCAACUCCAGAACUGCCUUCGAUACUGGCGACCUAGAGUCCGGAAGAGGUGAGUGGAACUCCUAGUGUAGAGGUGGAAUUCGUAGAUAUUAGGAAGAACACCAGUGGCGAAGGCGGCUCACUGGUCCGGUACUGACGCUGAGGUGCGAAAGCGUGGGGAGCAAACAGG